CCGGUGCCUCUCGUGUCGCAAUUGGCUCGGCGCCGGCUGGCCUCGCGCCGCCGCUCCUGUCAGGUAGCCCCUCCCUUUCGCGAAGCAGCGGCCGCCGACGCCGCUCCCCUGGCUCCAAACACAGGCACGCUCGGGAGACAGCGAUCCCUCGGAGGCUGAUUGGCGCAAGCGGAAUGGAGGAGGCGUGGCCCUGCUCUUUUCUAGUAAGACGUGGUGUCGCUUUAAAUAAAAGUGCGCGUUGUCCGCCUAACCCGUUUCCUUACAGGGCCUCUGAUUGGGCAAUCCGUUUACCUGUGCGGUUGCCCCAUUACGCCCAUCCUAGUAGUAGUGCCCGCCCCCUGCUAGGGGUUGGGGCGUGGUCAGCGAAGAGCGGAAAUUCCAUUCCCUCCCAAGCAAUGACCUCGUUUUCCCCAGUCGGACUUUUCGUGAUCUGGUCAUUUAGGGAAGGAGAGCAGUGGAGAUGGGUCCUUUUCACACAACCGCAUCUUUCAGGGUUUCUUUUCCUGCCUCUUUGAGCAGACAUCAAAAGAACCAACUAUGAGGGUUCAAUUCAGCGCACCGAACUCCAAAUAUAUGAAGAUCCCAUGUGGACUUAACAACCUGUCAGAAUCUGCUGGAUUUCAUCCCUGAAUAAAAGAUGCAGUAAAUGAACAAAACAGCCGGCAUUAGAAAGAAUGAGAAGAAAUGCAUGGAAGGAAGGAGGGGCAGCAAUAUCUGAAAUCAGUACCUGGGGAAGUAGCAGUGGCAUGGAAGACAAAGAAUGCAGUCAAAAGAACAGUGCUGGAGAUGGUGAUGAAGUUGAGGGAGACGAGCAGUGAUGCCAAUCACUCAGAGUCACCUUGAACCGUAAGAUGGCAGCAAAUAAAUUUGAUAAUUAAAUGAAUAAAAUGGCAAUGAUAACAGAUUGGGUUUAGGGAGCAUCUUAACCAACUGACUCAGAGCCUAAACUGAAGGUCCUACACCAGCUGACACAUCACAAACCACAAAGGGUAAAGGAAGGAAAGUUAACCUGACAACUCAAAAGAAAGAAAUAGACCUAGGAAAUUACGGUAGAUAUCUGGCAGUCAAAAGGGGACAAACGAUUGACUCGCUUCUUGUGGCAAAUUAUGUCCUCUUUCCUGAAGCUCUCUUUGCAUGCUGAGUUGAUUUACUGGCUCACCUGUAAACUGGACAUUGACUGCUCUUGGGCCUUCCCUGAACAUAUGAUUUAUUCCUCUGGACUCUUGGACAAGUAAGCUGUCCUGUCUACACUGAAACAGGAAGCUUUAAAUCUUCAGUGUGCUUUUAUGCAACUUCAGUUAAAGAUUUAAGACUGCAAUAAAUACCUUGAAUUUAUAGCAGAACAGAAGCUGUCUGUGGUAUAAUUGGGAGCACAUAACAACUUGUAUAAACAACCACCCACAUUGAUCUUGAGUGGCCAUUCGGCAUAUCAGAUUUCUGGUAUUAAUCUGAAAAUGGGCUUUUCUUUAUAUUGACCAUGAAGAAAGAAAAUAAAUCUAUUUCCCAUCCCUUCUUUU